CCAGACUCCUACGGGAGGCAGCAGUGGGGAAUAUUGCGCAAUGGGGGGAACCCUGACGCAGCAACGCCGCGUGCAGGAAGAAGGUCUUCGGAUUGUAAACUGUUGUCGCAGGGGAAGAAGACAGUGACGGUACCCUGUGAGAAAGUCACGGCUAACUACGUGCCAGCAGCCGCGGUAAUACGUAUGGGGCAAGCGUUAUCCGGAUUUACUGGGUGUAAAGGGAGCGCAGGCGGCGCGGCAAGUCAGAUGUGAAAGCCCGGAGCUCAACCCCGGGACUGCAUUUGAAACUGCCGUGCUGGAGUGUCGGAGAGGCAAGUGGAAUUCCUAGUGUAGCGGUGAAAUGCGUAGAUAUUAGGAGGAACACCAGUGGCGAAGGCGGCUUGCUGGACGAUAACUGACGCUGAGGCUCGAAAGCGUGGGGAGCAAACAGGAUUAGAUACCCUAGUAC
rnacentral:rRNA from 1 species